AGAGUUUGAUCCUGGCUCAGAACGAACGCUGGCGGCGUGGAUAAGACAUGCAAGUCGAGCGAGAUUUUUUUCUGUAGCAAUACAGGGAAAAGUCUAGCGGCGAACGGGUGCGUAACACGUGGGCAACCUGCCGAGAAGUGGGGGGAUAGCUCGCCGAAAGGCGAAUUAAUACCGCAUGUGAUCAGAGUGGACAUCCAUUCAAAAUCAAAGUCGGGGCAACCUGACGCUUCUUGAGGGGCCCGCGGCCUAUCAGCUAGUUGGUGAGGUAACGGCCCACCAAGGCUUAGACGGGUAGCUGGUCUGAGAGGACGACCAGCCACACUGGGACUGAGACACGGCCCAGACACCUACGGGUGGCAGCAGUCGAGAAUUUUUCUCAAUGGGGGAAACCCUGAAGGAGCGACGCCGCGUGGAGGAUGAAGGUCUUCGGAUUGUAAACUCCUGUCAUUGGGGAACAAUGCGUAAAUAUUAACUGUAUUUGCGUUGAUAGUACCCGAAGAGGAAGAGACGGCUAACUCUGUGCCAGCAGCCGCGGUAAUACAGAGGUCUCAAGCGUUGUUCGGAUUCAUUGGGCGUAAAGGGUGCGUAGGCGGCGCGGUAAGUCGGGUGUGAAAUCUCGGGGCUUAACUCCGAAACUGCAUUCGAUACUGCCGUGCUUGAGGACUGGAGAGGAGACUGGAAUUUACGGUGUAGCGGUGAAAUGCGUAGAUAUCGUAAGGAAGACCAGUGGCGAAGGCGGGUCUCUGGACAGUUCCUGACGCUGAGGCACGAAGGCCAGGGGAGCAAACGGGAUUAGAUACCCUAGUAGUCC
rnacentral:rRNA from 1 species